rnacentral:rRNA from 1 species
AUUGAACGCUGGCGGCAGGCCUAACACAUGCAAGUCGAACGAGUGGCGGCCGGGUGAGAAAUGUCUGGGAAACUGCCUGAUGGAGGGGGAUAACUACUGGAAACGGUAGCUAAUACCGCAACCCAUCGGAGGUGCCCAGAUGGGAAUAGCUAGUAGGUGGGGUAAAGGCUCACCUAGGCGACGAUCCCUAGCGGGUCUGCGAGGAUGAGCAGCAAAACGUGAACGGAGACACGGUCCAGACUCCUCCGUGAGGCAUCAGUGGGUAAUAUUGCACAAUGGGCGAAAUCCUGAUGCAGCCACGCCGCGUGUAUGAAGAAGGCCUUCGGGUUGUAAAGUGCUUUCAGCGGGGAGGCGUUACCCGCAGAAGAAGCACCGGCAAACGCCGUGCCAGCCGCCGCGGUAAUUC